AGAAGGGCGAUGUUGAGAGGGAUUGAAGCGUUAUGGAGGCAUUGUUGGUUCUCCUACGAGUUGCUGUUUGAGCUGUUGGUUCUCCUGGAGAAGCUUUGGUCUUCACAUCGAGCAUUGCUUCCUGGCUCCGGAGGGGAAGACAUGUGCUGCCUGGUCUCCAGGAUGAACUCGUCACACUGCUUCCUAGCUCGUACUCGACUGUGCUUGUCGUCGGAGGAGCUCGGGGCCUCCGUGUCACUGAGGACAGCUGUGGUUCCUUUCAGGACAGCCCAGCUUUUUGUUGGCUCUGACCAGUCAGCAGUCUUAGCUGUGAACUGCAGCACAGUCCCUGUGAAGUCCGAGCAGCAAGGAUCUACUGAAGGGUGUGAGUAGCUCUCUUCUUCCUCGGGAGGGCAGAGAAUCAGUGCACCGACUGCCUCUUCACAGGUGUGGCACCCCCUCAGCCGCAGCCUGUGGGACAGUUCACAGCAACCAAAAAUGCCUUGUUUCUCUCCAUCGUGGAAAGAAAUCUUUGAAGAAACACUGCUGAGGUCACUGCCUGGGCACUCUGAAGCUGUGGGUUCCUGCUGGAGUGACUCCUGAGCCCCUGUACAAGCUGAGAGUGUUCAGUCCACUUCUCAGGUAUCCUGCUUCACUGAGCACCGCUGUUACCACAUGGGCAUCUCUUUCUUCCCUGCUGUACACUCAAAUCCUGUCUCAGGCAGGUUUUGGGGUCAAUA